rnacentral:rRNA from 1 species
AGAGUUUGAUCCUGGCUCAGGAUGAACGCUAGCGACAGGCUUAACACAUGCAAGUCGAGGGGCAGCACUGGGUAGCAAUACCCUGGUGGCGACCGGCGCACGGGGUGAGUAACACGUGUGCAACCAACCCCGUACCGGGAGAUAACCCGCGGAAACGUGGACUAACAUCCCAUGACACUCGAGAGCCGCAUGGCUCUAGAUUUAAAAUUCCGGUGGUACGGGACGGGCACGCGCGACAUUAGGUAGUUGGCGGGGUAAGGGCCCACCAAGCCGACGAUGUCUAGGGGUUCUGAGAGGAAGGUCCCCCACACUGGAACUGAGACACGGUCCAGACUCCUACGGGAGGCAGCAGUGAGGAAUAUUGGUCAAUGGGCGAGAGCCUGAACCAGCCAAGUCGCGUGAGGGAAGAAUGGUCUAUGGCCUGUAAACCUCUUUUGUCAAGGAAGAAUAAGGAUGACGAGUCAUUCGAUGCCAGUACUUGACGAAUAAGCAUCGGCUAACUCCGUGCCAGCAGCCGCGGUAAUACGGGGGAUGCGAGCGUUAUCCGGAUUUAUUGGGUUUAAAGGGCGCGUAGGCGGGACGGCAAGUCAGCGGUAAAAGACUGCAGCUAAACUGUAGCACGCCGUUGAAACUGUUGACCUAGAGACGAGACGAGGGAGGCGGAACAAGUGAAGUAGCGGUGAAAUGCAUAGAUAUCACUUGGGAACCCCGAUAGCGAAGGCAGCUUCCCAGGCUCGUUCUGACGCUGAUGCGCGAGAGCGUGGGUAGCGAACAGGAUUAGAUACCCUGGUAGUCCACGCCGUAAACGAUGCUCACUGGAUCUUGGCGAUACACGGCCAGGGUUCAAGCGAAAGUAUUAAGUGAGCCACCUGGGGAGUACGUCGGCAACGAUGAAACUCAAAGGAAUUGACGGGGGCCCGCACAAGCAGCGGAGCAUGUGGUUUAAUUCGACGCAACGCGAAGAACCUUACCAGGUCUUGACAUCCACUUAAACUUACAGAGAUGUAAGGUGUGCUUGCACAAAGUGAGACAGGUGGUGCAUGGUUGUCGUCAGCUCGUGUCGUGAGAUGUUGGGUUAAGUCCCGCAACGAGCGCAACCCUUAUCUUCAGUUACUAACGCGUAGAGGUGAGGACUCUGAAGAGACUGCCGGGGACAACUCGGAGGAAGGUGGGGACGACGUCAAAUCAUCAUGCCCCUUAUGACCUGGGCUACACACGUGCUACAAUGGCCACGACAGAGAGAAGCGAAAUCGCAAGGUAGAGCGGAACUCAAAAAAGUGGUCCCAGUUCGGAUUGUGGGCUGCAACCCGCCCACAUGAAGUCGGAGUUGCUAGUAAUCGCGGAUCAGCAUGCCGCGGUGAAUACGUUCCCGGGCCUUGCACACACCGCCCGUCA